GGAGGAGGCGCCCGACCCGGGCUGGCGGGGCUUCGGUCGCCGGUUUGACUAAAUCCGCUCGGCUGGAGCUGGAUCCGCGGUCAGCCGAGGCCGGUAGGCCGCACCCUGCGCCUCCACCGUGACCCGACCCUCUGCGUGGUGACUUCGGGCUCGUCUCGCGAGGAUCUAGCUGCAAAGGAUCCCGAAGCUUCUUUGCCCCAUCUGGACCUAGAAACGAGCUGAUUUUUUAAAACCCAGAUUCUUGGUGUAUUUGGACACAAUGAAUACUGUGCCUUUCAUAUUUUCUUUGUAUUUCUCCAUAGUUGCUUGACCCAACAUCUGUCUGCUCUAUACAAUGAAGAUACAAACUAAAUGAGAAUAGAAAAAAAUAAUUAAAGCAUUAAAUUGUACAAAUUACAAAUCUGUUCCAAAAUAUACUUACAUUAAAUAAAAUACGCAUUUCAGUAAGA